AUUGAACGCUGGCGGCAGGCUUAACACAUGCAAGUCGAACGAUGAUUAUCUAGCUUGCUAGAUAUGAUUAGUGGCGGACGGGUGAGUAACAUUUAGGAAUCUGCCUAGUAGUGGGGGAUAGCUCGGGGAAACUCGAAUUAAUACCGCAUACGACCUACGGGUGAAAGGGGGCGCAAGCUCUUGCUAUUAGAUGAGCCUAAAUCAGAUUAGCUAGUUGGUGGGGUAAAGGCCCACCAAGGCGACGAUCUGUAACUGGUCUGAGAGGAUGAUCAGUCACACCGGAACUGAGACACGGUCCGGACUCCUACGGGAGGCAGCAGUGGGGAAUAUUGGACAAUGGGGGCAACCCUGAUCCAGCCAUGCCGCGUGUGUGAAGAAGGCCUUUUGGUUGUAAAGCACUUUAAGCAGGGAGGAGAGGCUAAUGGUUAAUACCCAUUAGAUUAGACGUUACCUGCAGAAUAAGCACCGGCUAACUCUGUGCCAGCAGCCGCGGUAAUACAGAGGGUGCGAGCGUUAAUCGGAAUUACUGGGCGUAAAGCGAGUGUAGGUGGCUCAUUAAGUCACAUGUGAAAUCCCCGGGCUUAACCUGGGAACUGCAUGUGAUACUGGUGGUGCUAGAAUAUGUGAGAGGGAAGUAGAAUUCCAGGUGUAGCGGUGAAAUGCGUAGAGAUCUGGAGGAAUACCGAUGGCGAAGGCAGCUUCCUGGCACAAUAUUGACACUGAGAUUCGAAAGCGUGGGUAGCAAACAGGAUUAGAUACCCUGGUAGUCCACGCCGUAAACGAUGUCUACUAGCCGUUGGGGUCCUUGAGACUUUAGUGGCGCAGUUAACGCGAUAAGUAGACCGCCUGGGGAGUACGGCCGCAAGGUUAAAACUCAAAUGAAUUGACGGGGGCCCGCACAAGCGGUGGAGCAUGUGGUUUAAUUCGAUGCAACGCGAAGAACCUUACCUGGUCUUGACAUAGUGAGAAUCCUGCAGAGAUGCGGGAGUGCCUUCGGGAAUUCACAUACAGGUGCUGCAUGGCUGUCGUCAGCUCGUGUCGUGAGAUGUUGGGUUAAGUCCCGCAACGAGCGCAACCCUUUUCCUUAUUUGCCAGCGGGUUAAGCCGGGAACUUUAAGGAUACUGCCAGUGACAAACUGGAGGAAGGCGGGGACGACGUCAAGUCAUCAUGGCCCUUACGACCAGGGCUACACACGUGCUACAAUGGUAGGUACAGAGGGUUGCUACACAGCGAUGUGAUGCUAAUCUCAAAAAGCCUAUCGUAGUCCGGAUUGGAGUCUGCAACUCGACUCCAUGAAGUCGGAAUCGCUAGUAAUCGCAGAUCAGAAUGCUACGGUGAAUACGUUCCCGGGCCU
rnacentral:rRNA from 1 species